rnacentral:tRNA from 1 species
AUACUUCCUAUAAUCCAUAAAUACAGUGCACAACAGAAGAUACUCAGUAAACAUUUCCUCGUUUUAGAAUC